rnacentral:rRNA from 1 species
UACGAAGGGUGCAAACGUUGCUCGGAAUUAUUGGGCGUAAAGCGCACGUAGGCGGCUUAGCAAGUCCCAUGUGAAAGCCCACGGCUCAACCGUGGAAGUGCAUGGGAAACUGCUGAGCUUGAGUACUUAAGAGGGUCGCGGAAUUCCCGGUGUAGAGGUGAAAUUCGUAGAUAUCGGGAGGAACACCGGUGGCGAAGGCGGCAUCCUGGACCGGCAGUUGACGCUGAGGCGCGAAAGCCAGGGGAGCAAACGGGG